UGAGACCUUACACUCGACUAGAGCCGAGUUUUUCAGGAGAUACUCAAUAUGAGAGGGAGCAACCUAGUGCAGGCAACGACGAUAUUCUUCAUCGGAUGCCUUGUCGUGUGUGUCCAGUGUGGUCUUGAUGCUACUGAAACGGUGGUCAAACAAGAUGGCCGUGCGGCCAAUACAAGUACUGACGCUACCGUUGUCAACUCAGCGUCUGUAGGCGACAGCAAGAUAACUGUCAAAUUUUGCAUCCAGCAUUUGGGAUGCCAUCUUUCAGAUGGGUACCGUGGUACGUGCUACUGCUGCCAGAAAGAUGAGAUCGAGUGUUUCAGGACGCGGAGUGAGUGUCAGGACAUCUACCCUACGUGCAACCCUAAAUGCCCACCUCCAUCGGGGUCUCUAUGAUAGAAUUUCAGGCUCGAACAAAUUGUCCAUUGGUAAUAAAAUGAACCUAAUUUGGUUUCGGCAA